AUUGAUCGCUGGCGGCAUGCCUUACACAUGCAAGUCGAACGGCAGCACGGGUGCUUGCACCUGGUGGCGAGUGGCGAACGGGUGAGUAAUACAUCGGAACAUGUCCUGUAGUGGGGGAUAGCCCGGCGAAAGCCGGAUUAAUACCGCAUACGAUCUACGGAUGAAAGCGGGGGACCUUCGGGCCUCGCGCUAUAGGGUUGGCCGAUGGCUGAUUAGCUAGUUUGUGGGGUAAAGGCCUACCAAGGCGACGAUCAGUAGCUGGUCUGAGAGGACGACCAGCCACACUGGGACUGAGACACGGCCCAGACUCCUACGGGAGGCAGCAGUGGGGAAUUUUGGACAAUGGGCGAAAGCCUGAUCCAGCAAUGCCGCGUGUGUGAAGAAGGCCUUCGGGUUGUAAAGCACUUUUGUCCGGAAAGAAAUCCUUGGCCCUAAUACGGUCGGGGGAUGACGGUACCGGAAGAAUAAGCACCGGCUAACUACGUG
rnacentral:rRNA from 1 species